rnacentral:rRNA from 1 species
UACGGAGGGUGCGAGCGUUGUCCGGAAUCAUUGGGCGUAAAGGGCGCGUAGGUGGCCCGGUCAGCGUGCGGUGAAAGCUCGGGGCUCAACCCCGAGUCGGCCGUGCGAACUGCUGGGCUCGAGCACUGUAGAGGCAGGCGGAAUUCCGGGUGUAGCGGUGGAAUGCGUAGAGAUCCGGAAGAACACCGGUGGCGAAGGCGGCCUGCUGGGCAGUAGCUGACACUGAGGCGCGACAGCGUGGGGAGCGAAUGGG